AUUGAACGCUGGCGGCAUGCCUUACACAUGCAAGUCGAACGGCAGCACGGGUGCUUGCACCUGGUGGCGAGUGGCGAACGGGUGAGUAAUACAUCGGAACAUGUCCUGUAGUGGGGGAUAGCCCGGCGAAAGCCGGAUUAAUACCGCAUACGAUCCACGGAUGAAAGCGGGGGACCUUCGGGCCUCGCGCUAUAGGGUUGGCCGAUGGCUGAUUAGCUAGUUGGUGGGGUAAAGGCCUACCAAGGCGACGAUCAGUAGCUGGUCUGAGAGGACGACCAGCCACACUGGAGCUGAGACACGGCCCAGACUCCUACGGGAGGCAGCAGUGGGGAAUUUUGGACAAUGGGCGAAAGCCUGAUCCAGCAAUGCCGCGUGUGUGAAGAAGGACUUCGGGUUGUAAAGCACUUUUGUCCGGAAAGAAAUCCUUGACUCUAAUACAGUCGGGGGAUGACGGUACCGGAAGAAUAAGCACCGGCUAACUACGUG
rnacentral:rRNA from 1 species